rnacentral:rRNA from 1 species
GACGAACGCUGGCGGCGUGCCUAAUACAUGCAAGUAGAACGCUGAAGAGAGGAGCUUGCUCUUCUUGGAUGAGUUGCGAACGGGUGAGUAACGCGUAGGUAACCUGCCUUGUAGCGGGGGAUAACUAUUGGAAACGAUAGCUAAUACCGCAUAACAAUGGAUGACACAUGUCAUUUAUUUGAAAGGGGCAAUUGCUCCACUACAAGAUGGACCUGCGUUGUAUUAGCUAGUAGGUGAGGUAAUGGCUCACCUAGGCGACGAUACAUAGCCGACCUGAGAGGGGGAUCGGCCACACUGGGACUGGAGCACGGCCCAGACUCCUACGGGGGGCAGCAGUAGGGGAACUUCGGCAAUGGGGGCAACGCUGAACGGGGAACGCCGCGUGAGUGAAGGAGGUUUUCGGGUCGUAAAGCUCUGUUGUAGGUCAAGGACGGGAGUGGGAGUGAAAAGUUCACACUGUGACGGUAGCUAACCAGAAAGGGACGGCUAACUACGUG